rnacentral:rRNA from 1 species
AACAGGAUUAGAUACCCUGGUAGUCCACGCCCUAAACGAUGUCAACUAGCUGUUGGGGCCUUCGGGCCUUGGUAGCGCAGCUAACGCGUGAAGUUGACCGCCUGGGGAGUACGGUCGCAAGAUUAAAACUCAAAGGAAUUGACGGGGACCCGCACAAGCGGUGGAUGAUGUGGAUUAAUUCGAUGCAACGCGAAAAACCUUACCUACCCUUGACAUGUCUGGAAUGCCGAAGAGAUUUGGCAGUGCUCGCAAGAGAACCGGAACACAGGUGCUGCAUGGCUGUCGUCAGCUCGCGUCGUGAGAUGUUGGGUUAAGUCCCGCAACGAGCGCAACCCUUGUCAUUAGUUGCUACGAAAGGGCACUCUAAUGAGACUGCCGGUGACAAACCGGAGGAAGGUGGGGAUGACGUCAAGUCCUCAUGGCCCUUAUGGGUGGGGCUUCACACGUCAUACAAUGGUCGGGACAGAGGGUCGCCAACCCGCGAGGGGGAGCCAAUCCCAGAAACCCGAUCGUAGUCCGGAUCGCAGUCUGCAACUCGACUGCGUGAAGUCGGAAUCGCUAGUAAUCGCGGAUCAGCAUGUCGCGGUGAAUACGUUCCCGGGUCUUGUACACACCGCCCGUCACACCAUGGGAGUGGGUUUUACCAGAAGUAGUUAGCCUAACCGCAAGGGGGGCGAUUACCACGGUAGGAUUCAUGACUGGGGUGAAGUCGUAACAAGGUAACC